rnacentral:rRNA from 1 species
AACGAACGCUGGCGGCAGGCUUAACACAUGCAAGUCGAACGGGUGUAGCAAUACAUCAGUGGCAGACGGGUGAGUAACACGUGGGAACCUUCCUAGGGGUACGGAACAACUCAGGGAAACUUGAGCUAAUACCGUAUACGUCCGUGAGGAGAAAGAUUUAUCGCCUUUAGACGGGCCCGCGUCGGAUUAGGUAGUUGGUGGGGUAACGGCCUACCAAGCCUACGAUCCGUAGCUGAUCUUAGAGGAUGAUCAGCCACACUGGGACUGAGACACGGCCCAGACUCCUACGGGAGGCAGCAGUGGGGAAUCUUGGACAAUAGGCGCAAGCCUGAUCCAGCCAUGCCGCGUGAGUGAAGAAGGCCUUAGGGUUGUAAAGCUCUUUUGCCAGGGACGAUAAUGACGGUACCUGGAGAGUAAGCCCCGGCAAACUUCGUGCCAGCCGCCGCCGUAACAC